rnacentral:rRNA from 1 species
AUUGAACGCUGGCGGCAGGCCUAACACAUGCAAGUCGAACGAGUGGCGGACGGGUGAGUAAUGCAUGGGAAACUACCUGCUGGAGGGGGAUAACUAUGGGAAACGGUAGCUAAUACCGCAUACCAUGAGAUCUGCCCAGGUGGGAUUAGCUAGUUGGUGGGGUAAAGGCCCACCAAGGCGACGAUCACUAGCGGGUCUGAGAGGAUGACCAGCCACACUGGGACUGAGACACGGUCCAGACUCCUACGGGAGGCAGCAGUGGGGAAUAUUGGACAAUGGGCGCAAGCCUGAUGCAGCCAUGCCGCGUGUAUGAAGAAGGCCUUCGGGUUGUAAAGUUCUUUCGGCAGGGAAGCGUUACCUGCAGAAGAAGCACCGGCUAACUCCGUGCCAGCAGCCGCGGUAAUUC